UACAGAGGGUGCUAGCGUUGUUCGGAAUCAUUGGGCGUAAAGGGCGUGUAGGCGGUUUGUUAAGUCAUGUGUGAAAUCCCUCGGCUCAACCGGGGAACGACGCAUGAAACUGGCAAGCUAGAGUACCAAAGAGGGGGUGGAAUUCCCGGUGUAGUGGUGAAAUGCGUAGAUAUCGGGAGGAACACCAGUGGCGAAGGCGGCUUCCUGGCCUGUUCUUGACGCUGAGGCGCGAAAGCUAGGGGAGCAAACGGG
rnacentral:rRNA from 1 species